GUACUUACCUGGAUGGGGUCAAUGGUUGAUCAUGAAGGACCAUGGGCAAUGAGAGUGAUCUCCAUUGCACUUAGGAGGGGUGUUACCCUAAGGUCUACCCAAGUGGUGGAACCUACAUCAUAAUUUGUUGCCGUGGGGGCCUGCGUUUGCGCGCCCCCCUC